UACAGAGGUCCCAAGCGUUGUUCGGAUUCAUUGGGCGUAAAGGGUGCGUAGGCGGCGCGGUAAGUCGGGUGUGAAAUCUCGGAGCUUAACUCCGAAACUGCAUUCGAUACUGCCGUGCUUGAGGACUGGAGAGGAGACUGGAAUUUACGGUGUAGCGGUGAAAUGCGUAGAGAUCGUAAGGAAGACCAGUGGCGAAGGCGGGUCUCUGGACAGUUCCUGACACUGAGGCACGAAGGCCAGGGGAGCAAACGGG
rnacentral:rRNA from 1 species